AGAGUUUGAUCCUGGCUCAGAUUGAACGCUGGCGGCAUGCCUUACACAUGCAAGUCGAACGGCAGCGCGGGGCAACCUGGCGGCGAGUGGCGAACGGGUGAGUAAUAUAUCGGAACGUGCCCUGGAGUGGGGGAUAACGCAGCGAAAGUUGCGCUAAUACCGCAUACGAUCUAAGGAUGAAAGCAGGGGACCGCAAGGCCUUGUGCUCCUGGGGCGGCCGAUAUCUGAUUAGCUAGUUGGUGGGGUAAAGGCCUACCAAGGCAUCGAUCAGUAGCUGGUCUGAGAGGACGACCAGCCACACUGGAACUGAGACACGGUCCAGACUCCUACGGGAGGCAGCAGUGGGGAAUUUUGGACAAUGGGCGAAAGCCUGAUCCAGCAAUGCCGCGUGAGUGAAGAAGGCCUUCGGGUUGUAAAGCUCUUUUGUCAGGG
rnacentral:rRNA from 1 species